CAAGGAAAGUAGGUUUCUGGGAGGGCGGAGCCCGAACCCUGAGCAACAAGGGUGGGCAAGACCCCAGCCCACUCUCCCAGUCCUCAUCACCAGGGCUGCCCGAGGGAGAGGAGCGUGCCCUCCUGGCCACCACAGGAAAGGCCCCUGCAGUGGUAAAACAGCCCCGGCCUGAGGUCUUCAUGGUGCCUAAGUCUGCUGGUCGCAGUCUUUGGUUCUGGGGCACGUGGGAGAGUCGAGCACAGGCAUUGCUUCGCUGUCCUCUGCUUGGUUGCACAUCCUCUUCUCACUGAGCGUGGACAGGGCCCUCUGAAGGGGGCUGUCCCUCCUCCAGUGGCCUGGUGCUGUGUAAGCCCCACGGAUGCUACCACGCAGAAUAAUUUAGGUAUAGAAAGAGGAAGCUGGAAAUCAGACGGACAUGUGGUGACGAACUCAGCAGUCCUCACUGCAGCGAACCUGGCCCCGCGAAGCCCUGUCCUCAUGCCCAGCUGCCUCCUUCCCACAGGCACUGCUGAAGGCCAGUGACUCCUCACAGCCAUGGCCUGAGGGCUGUGCGUCUAGCCCUCGCCUUCCCAGGGCCCCUCUCUGACCACCGGGGGCCGGAGCCACUCCGCGCCCUCUGCCACACUGCCACACCAUCGUCCGGAGAAGUGCCCCUGCCCUUCCUGCUGUCACAUGCCCUGUGCCUUUGCCGUGCUGUCCCUCAGAAAGCAGCUCUGCUUCCAGCCCCGCCAGGGAGCGAGCCGGGGCAAGACUGACCCACACCACCUGCUCGACAGCAGCAUCAAACCUGCUGCCCAGUGCCCUGCCCCAUGGCUACCCUGGGCGGAAAAUGCUCCAGAGAGGCUACUGGAGGCCCCCCACCCAUCCCAGGACACAGCAGACCCCCAAACCCACCGUGGACUCCAGCUGCAUUUCCACCUCUUCAAAGGUAUCAGUAGGAGUCCAGCAGAUGGUGUCUGUUUGCAUUUCAUGUUUGUAUUUGAUGGAUUCGCUGUAAAUAUGUCCCUCUUCACACAAUAUUUUAAAGUGUAAAUGUAAAAUGCAAUCAACUGUACUCCCAAAUGUUAGGUCCUCUUUCAGACGGGGCUGUAAGCAGCCAAACUCUUCACCAUGUGGCAUCACUUGGCUUUUGCCAGGAGAAGCAGCCUUACCAGCAUCAGUUGAAAGUUCGUACGGCUUGCUGGACUAAUGCCUCCCAGUGUUAGACAGUAUUUUCUAAGAAUAAGAACCUUCCUGAGAUUUCCGCACGUGGGUUUUGCUUCUGACCCUGAGCCGGGCGAAUGCCCGUGUGGGCUCCAUGCCGGCUGUGACGCCACGCUCUGCGUGUGUUGGUUCUCGCCAUGGCCAGCAGGAGCCGCUGUCUCCAGGUGAAGGCCCUGAGGGCUGGCAAGGGGCCGCUCUGGGCCGUGGGAGUGGGCCGGAGCCACCGUGAAGGGCUGCACUGUGCUAAUCAUUUACUGCUCACAACAUCGUGGCGGGCACGGCUCAGGUCCUGCCCUGUCCGAGUUGACACACGGGUAACACCCACACCUGGGGUCCCCCAGGGCCUGAGCCAGAAGUGUCCACAGCCCCCCUGCACCACAGUGACGUCCCCGGGCGCAGCUGGCAGGACACGCAGCUACUGUGGCUCAUUGCUUCUGGGUGGCAGGAGGCUUCAGGCAGAGCGGGGAGUGGGCUCCCCAGCCCCAGCUAGGAGCAGAGCCCAGGGACCAAGAGCACAGAGAUGCCUGCAAGACACCUGUGCUGCCUGUGUGUGGCCAACAGGAGCAUCGCCCGGGAGAUGUUGGCCUCCUCGUUACCAUUUUACCAAAUGAGCUGCGUUAAGUUAAUUACAAUGCGCUCUGUGAAGAAGCCCCUCUGGGUGACUCCCCGUCCAUGGGCCCUGGAGACAAACCCAAGGGUCCAGUGGCACCAGCCACAGGAAGACUCACUCUGGAGCCUAGCGCUUCCAGGAAGCCUGAGUCUGUGGCCCAGCAGUGCGGCCUCGGGUCCACCAUGAGCUCUGUGACCUCUCGUGAGGCCCUGGCCCCUGACACCAGGCAUCAGCCGUGGGACUGCAGGGGGAUGGACACAGGCUCCUCAUGCCCAGCUUCGCCUUCGCCUACCUCUGGAAGCUGUGGGGGGAUUGUGCCCAUGAACAUGUCUGCUGCUGUCCUCAGCCCCAGGCUCUGAGCAUCUCCAGGAAUGGCUGGGACCUGCUCUGAGAGAAGGGACCCAUGCAGGGGACAGGACAGACAGACCCACUCCAGGGCAGUGGGUGGAGAGACACAGACCUGCCCACAGGCUGGCAUCACCUUGGCCCUGGUCCUCAGCCUCUCUCGCCUGGGUAGGGAAGGAUGGUGCCUGGGCCCGCUGCCAACAGCUGGCUGUGACCAGGGUCCCUGGGCUGGACACUGUCUUGGAGUCACACUCGCUCCUCCAUCCCGAUGAGGCGCAGGCGCCACAGCUCCGCCCUUCUCCAGGAGAGGAGACACAGGGACCCGCUCUGCUUUCUGAGGCCUCCACAGUGACAUAAGAUCCCGUGGGACAAGGAGUCCCGGCACCUAGGCUGCUGUGGCUGACUGCGCACCGUACAAGGUCACCCGGGGAGAGGACACACAGUGGGGACCUGGGCUCCCGGCUCCUGAGCUUCCCAGCUGCCUAGGCCUCCCUGGUGACAGAGGCCGUGGGCCUGAGUGCCAUGCCCAGGCCAGCCCUCUGCACACGGAGAGCUGGAUGGGGGCAGAACGGCUGUGCAGCCCACACCCCUCAGGAGGCGGAUGAAGACUGAGGCCUGGAAGACCCCGCGAGUGGAAGAGAGUGGGCCCUGGCAGCUCUGGGUUUUCCUGGGCAGGCUUUGCCCUGCACGCUGCUGCCCAUGGUUUGUGUGCUGGUCUCCAAAGACUCCAAAGCAAGAGUCUGCAGAUCCUCACUCAGACAUGACAACACUGCUCUGAUGCCAGAGCAGGGCCCAGGCUGCAGGCGGGCCCUGAAGGCCUGGAGAGGAUGGAGGUGCUGGGGACGGAUGGAGGGAGCUCUCCUGAGACACAGUCACAUCUAGGGGUCCCCCAAAGUCCGUGUGCUGAAGCUUGGUGCCUGGGCAGAGCUGUUGGGAGGAGAGACCUGUAGGCAGUCAGGGGCCUGCUGGGAAGUCUGCAGGUCACCAGAGCAGUCCUCAAGGGCCCAGAAGACCUGUCUGUCUCUCCCGGCUGCUUCCUCGUUGCUCCACCUCGAGCUCCAGCCCUGACGGCUGCUGUCCCCCUCGCUCUUGGAUGGGAGCCUGCAGAACCAUGACUAAAUCCCCUCUGCUCUUGCUGCUAACUGACCUGGGCAUACGCCACGGUGACAGAAGGGAGGGCCACGGGGCAAGGACAGAGCCGCGCCCGGGGCAGCACCUCCUGAGGGGCUUAGGGGACACCACAGGGCUGGAGUCUUCACCCUGCUUCCUAGCUGCAUUGACCAGGCAUCUCUAGGACGACACUUCCUGGAUCCGAGACCCCAGAGCAAACGCCACUUUCAUAAUGAGACUGUUUCACCACCGGAUCAGUCCUUGGAGUCACUGAAGCUUUAGGCUGAGACGAAGACUGAGACCAGCAGCAGCCAGCUGACUAGGCACAGAUGGUUUCCAGUUCACUCAGGUCCAUGUGGCAUUGUCUUAACCUUACAGCAUGCAAAAGCUAAACGCAGGCAGUGAGAGCCACACUUUGAAUUUUGAUCUUGCCUUUCCACAGGCUUGAGAUGCAUGGUAGGAUGGUCUCUUGCACGGUGGCGGCAUCAGCAGCAGGCCCACUGCCCAGUCACAACGGCACAGCCCAGCCCCACAAAGAGCUGUGUGGCCAGCAUGCCUGGCACGGCUCAGUAAGUCCCGUGGGACAUCCAACACCGUGUUAAGCCUGGCUUUGUGGGAGGUGCAGGGCUCUGGGCUCAGGUGAGGUGGGUUAGGCCAAGCUGGGGUGCCUGCUAGGUUUGGUGUCUUGAAUGCAUUGUCUCAUUACGCUAUUUCCAGUGAGCAUGGUUUUAUCAGGACAGAAGCCCACCUCAGUCGCAGAGAGGCUAUGUGGCCCUCUAGAUCAGGGGACUACUGGUUUCCAGCACUCUGAGGUGGGAGCAGGGUGGGUGGGCAUAGAAGACAGCAGGCUGGGGUCCCUCUGGGCAGACACCGGCUGGCCCUAAUGCCAGAGCUCUGCUCCCACCUGUGCCCUUGAUGGACAGGAAGGACCGCUGUUCUUCCAGGACCCACAGGCCACUAAAGCAAACGUAGGCUCACAGCCCUCCCUGCCCCCCGGAGGCCGAGAUCCCCUUCAGCUGAGGCCCUGCCGCUCCUGCAUGCCCAGAGCCGCAGACGCUGGCAGGCAGCAGGCUGCCCUCAGGGCCAGGGUCCCGAGCUGUGGUCCCCACUCCCACGGGGAACGUCCCUCCCCGGCCCUGCCUCUGGGAGUGGAGUCGGACUUCAGCAGGGCCAGACCGUGCGUGUGUGCUCGUGCAUGUACCCCAUCUCCACGGGCCAUGGGAAGGACAGGCCCUACCCCGUCCACCCAGGGAGACGCCAUGGCCCGGCUUACUUCCCACCAGCAGCAGAGGCCUCUGGCUCAGCCCCAGGCUUCUGUCACAUAAGGACCCCCUCCCCAGCAGGGUACAGAGAACCCGGCUGGAAGGAAGGAAGGGAGGGGGAAGGGAGGAGAGAAAAGGAAAAAGCAAGAGUAGGAAGGAGGAAAGAAGGAAAGGAAGGAAGAGGGAAAAGAAUGAAGGGCAAAGGCAGAAAGAGAAGUAGAGAGGAAAGGAAGGUGUGUAAGGGAAAAGGAUGAAAACAGAGAGGGGAAGGGGGAGGGGAGGCGAGGGGGAGAGAGGGAGAGG
rnacentral:lncRNA from 1 species